AUGACUGAAAUAAUGCACAUGUGUAAUUAUUUUCCUGAUUUGAAUGUCACUGUGUUUGCAGGUGUCCAGUGUGACGUGAAACUGUUGGAGUCUGGAGAAGACCUGAGGCAGCCUGGGGCAUCUCUGAGACUCUCCUGUGCAGCCUCUGGGUUCACCUUCAGUAGCUAUCACAUGAACUGGUUUCGCCACCUCCAGGGAGGGUACUGCAGUGGGUAUCAUAUAUUAAUUACUGCUGAUGGUAACACAUACUACACAGGCUCUGUGAGGGGCAGAUUCACCAUCUCCAGAGAUAAUGCCAAAAACUUGCUCUAUCUCCAGAUGAACAAUCUGAAAAUUGAGCACACAGCAUGUAUUACUGUGCAAGAUACACAGUGAGAGUAAGUCAGUGUGAACUCAGACAGAAAGCUCUCUCUGAGAGCCAAGAGCACAGGAUGCAGAUCCAGUACAAGGUGCAGAUGUAG